rnacentral:pre_miRNA from 1 species
AGGAGGAACAACCCCACUGGUGGGGCCAGCUCUGGAAACCUGGAGUCCGCCCCGGCAGUAACUACAGAGCUCUCGAUCUGCAGGGCCUGGAGGCUCCGGGGCGGG